rnacentral:rRNA from 1 species
AUGUCAUUCCUCGGCGACAAGUCCGCCAAGACAUUCGUGGCCGGUCACCGGGGCAUGAUCGGCACAGCCGCCCACCGCAAGCUAGCGGCGCUCGGCUUCAACAGCAUCGUCGUCCGCACACACGCCGAGCUCGACCUGACGUGCCAGCACGCCGUGGACACAUUCUUCGACGCCGAGCAGCCCCGCUACGUCAUACUCUGUGCUGCCAAGUCCGGCGGCGUCCACGCGGCUCUGAGCGCGCCGGCCGAGUACCUGACCAAGAACCUGGGCAUCAUUUUCAACGUGAUGACCGCCGCCCAGCGCUGCGGUUCCGUCCGCAAGCUGCUCAUCCUCGCCAGCGCCACCAUCUACCCCGAGGACGCGUGGCAGCCUAUCCCGGAGUCGGCCUUCCUGUCCGGCCCGCCAGCGCCCGGUAGCGAGUGGUACAGCAUCGCCAAGAUCGCGGGCAUCAAGAUGUGCCAGGCCUACCGCGAGGAGCACGGCAUGGACGCCAUCGCGGCGUCGCCCAACAACAUCUACGGCCCGCGGAACCCCUUCCCUUCGGAGAGCUCCCACGUCAUCCCAGCCCUCAUCCGCCGUUUCCACCACGCCAAGGUCACCGGCGCUCCCGAGGCCGUGGUCUGGGGCUCCGGCGCCGCGCUCCGCGAGUUCACGCACGUGGAUGACCUUGUGGAAGCCUUGGUGCUGCUGAUGGACAGGUACUCCGGGCUGGAGCACGUGAACGUGGGGAGUGGCGAGGAGAUGAGCGUGAGGGAGCUGGCGGAGAUGGUGAAGGAGGUGGUCGGGUACGAGGGUCGCGUGGUGUGGGACGCCAGCCGGCCGGACGGUGUGCCCAGGCGGUUGAUUGAUAGCUCCAAGAUGAGGAAGCUUGGGUGGAAGCCUAAGGUGGCGCUUAGGGACGGGCUCAUAGAGAUGUACCAACUGUAUUGCCGUCAACAAGAUGAAGCAUGA